GACACUUUCACAUUCUAGAUACACUUCUUCUCAAGGAAAGGAAGCAGUUCGAGUGCUUCGCGUCUUUCUUUCCAUCGUCAGCCACGAUACAGAUUACACAAUGAUAAGACAAUCUUCAAAGGCUACUGCUCCGGCAGUUUGUACCGCAAAAAUAAACGGAAAUGCUGAAUAUUCUGCUGGAUAAACAUUUAUCUGGAACUGCGAGGUUAUGAAGCCUCUUAAAAGAGAUAACUACAGAAUCCAUCCUGAUAUGUGACUUGCGAUCUGAUUGAAGUGGAGCACACAGGCAGCAGAAGCAGAUCACAUUGAACUGGAAUAAUGCAGUUGCUGUCACAGAUCAACGCGAGAUAAUGCGAGAUCAAUCAAGAUAACGGGAGUGACUACCAUUUUCAAGACAAAUGCAGAUGUGCACAUAUGCGACAUAACGAUUGCUGUGGAGUGCGCGUAGUCUUUGCAUCUGUUAAACGACGUACUAAUCAUCGCUUUGGAAUCACGUGGCAUAAAUUUCAUGAGUAAUAAAGUAAGCUGCGAGUAACAAUAAUCACUAAAGACCUAAGUAGCGUUUCAAUCUUCUGAAUCAUUAAACAAAA
rnacentral:lncRNA from 1 species